ACAUAUGAGUGAAUUACUUGUUCAAUCUUUUUAUCCAUAUGAAGUUGUUAGGAGCAGUCAUGGUUGGAAAUUAUGGCACCAAUACGAUAUUCAUAUACUGAUUAGUGAUCCUCUUAUUUAGCAAAUCUCUGGUAUACCAAUUACAGUCAUCCACAAACUCCUAAUGUUUAUUGUGCAUCUCCGUCCAUGGGUCUAUUCCUUGAGCUCUGUGAUUGUCAUCUCACUACUUUCAGCGAUGUUUCCUAUGAUGGACUUGAGAAGCCUAGUAAAGUCUUUGAUCGACGACUUGCUAUGUUCAAUCUACCAAUACCAAGAAUCAAGGACACUGAUUUCAACUGAUUUAAGAAGUGGAGGAUAGUUUGAUCCUAAUGGAAGACAGUGCUUGACAAUGGAGGGUUAUAGGGAAAUUGGGCAGAUAGUACGGAAACUGGCUGAUAAGCACAGUGAUGGACGCCUUCUCAUUGUCCAGGAAGGUGGAUAUCAUAUUACAUAUUCAGCAUACUGUGUGCAUGCAACACUUGAAGGUGUUCUCAACCUUCCAGCUCCUCUAUUAUCUGAUCCCAUUGCUUACUAUCCAGAAGAUGAGGCCUUAGCAGUCAAAGUUGUUGACUCCAUCAAGCAAUACUGGAAAAACAAUGUAUCAUUUUUCGGAGAAGAUUAAUCAAUUACUAUGUUCACUAAAUUAAUGUGGAGCAAUUUUCUUAUAUUUUGUGAAGUUCUAUUCAAUCGGAAAAAGACCAGUUUGAUUGUAUAUAACCGUAAUUUAUUGAAAUCUUGAUGGGAUGAAUUACCUAGUUUACUUGAUCA